GACUCCAUGGCGCAAUAGGCAGCGCGUUCGGUUGUUAACCGAAAGGUUAGUGGUACGAGCCCACCAGGGAGCGCA